GACGAACGCUGGCGGCGUGCCUAAUACAUGCAAGUCGAGCGGAAGUUGAAGAGCUUGCUCUUCAACUUUAGCGGCGGACGGGUGAGUAACACGUGGGCAACCUGCCCUGCAGAUCGGGAUAACUCCGGGAAACCGGUGCUAAUACCGAAUAGUUUUCGCCACCUCCUGGUGGCGUACGGAAAGACGGUUCCGGCUGUCACUGCAGGAUGGGCCGGCGGCGCAUUAGCUAGUUGGAGGGGUAACGGCCCACCAAGGCGACGAUGCGUAGCCGCCCUGGGAGGGUGAUCGGCCACACUGGGACUGAGACACGGCCCAGACGCCUACGGGAGGCAGCAGUAGGGAAUCUUCCGCAAUGGACGAAAGUCUGACGGAGCAACGCCGCGUGAGUGACGACGGUUUUCGGAUCGUAAAACUCUGUUGUGAGGGAAGAACAAGUACCAACUAACUACUGGUACCUUGACGGUACCUCACCAGAAAGCCACGGCUAACUACGUGCCAGCAGCCGCCGUAA
rnacentral:rRNA from 1 species